AUGUGGGCGGAAGACCACCAUGAGUGCCAGCUCUCCUGCUACCACAGAUACUGGCAGAAGGACUUUGGAAGCACACGUUUACCAUUAAACACAAUAAUGCACACAUUCUGGAGGAGAGCAGAAAUUGAAUUCUUCCUCGGCAUGAGAGACGAGGAAGAGGAACCGGCCGAGGAGGACUGCCCUGAGUUGGUUCCCAUUGAGGCGAAGGAAAGAGAGGAAGAGGAAAAGCUUGGCCCCGGCGCCAAGAUCCCAGUCACAAUCAUCACCGGGUAUUUAGGUGCUGGGAAGACAACACUACUGAACUACAUUUUAACAGAGCAACAUAGUAAACGAAUAGCAGUUAUUUUAAAUGAAUUUGGUGAAGGAAGUGCAGUAGAGAAAUCCUUAGCUGUGAGUCAAGGUGGAGAGCUCUAUGAAGAGUGGCUGGAACUUGGAAAUGGUUGCCUCUGCUGUUCAGUGAAGGACAGUGGCCUUUGGGCUAUUGAGAAUUUGAUGCAGAAGAAGGGGAAAUUUGAUUACAUACUGUUAGAGACCACUGGGUUGGCAGAUCCUGGUGCUGUGGCUUCUAUAUUUUGGGUUGAUGCUGAGCUAGGGAGUGAUAUUUAUCUUGAUGGUAUCAUAACUGUUGUAGAUUCAAAGUAUGGAUUAAAACAUUUAGCAGAAGAAAAACCAGAUGGCCUCACCAAUGAAGCU